ACCUAAUUGGCACAGUUGGUAGUGACCCUACUUGCUGCGUUGGGUGCGUGGGUUCGAUUCCCACAUAAGACA